AAAUCUUAAUAUUUAUGCAAUGUUUCAGUAAUAAUGUUUAAUUAUUUAUCGUACUUAAAUGCUAACAAUUUGUAUGUCUGGGCUUCUAAUUUUUUUGGAGCAGCAUAAUGGUAAGUUAAAGCAGAUAAUAAGCCGGGCCUGCAAUUUUUUCACCAAAUCUCCAAACCACUCGUUGACCCUGCAUCUGGACAAGCUAGUUAACCUCAAUCUAAACAAUUGCAAAAGCUUGAGAAUUCUUCCAGCUGGAAUAUUUCGUUUGGAAUUUCUUAAAGAACUUGAUCUUUGGGGCUGCUCAAAACUAAAAACGCUUCCAGAGAUAUCAUCAGCUGGUAAUAUAGAAGUGAUGUAUUUAAAUGGAACUGCAAUUGAAGAACUGCCUUCAUCCAUAGAAUGUCUAUCUCGGCUUUCGGCCUUAUACCUUGAUAAUUGUAAAAGGCUGAAGAGUCUCCCAAGCAGCCUAUGUAAAUUGAACUCUCUGAACUUUAUUUAUCUCAGGUGGUGCUCAAGUCUUAGGAGUUUGCCUGAUGAACUUGGAAAUUUAGAAGCUUUGGACAGUUUGAUUGCUGAAGGAACUGCUAUAAGAGAAGUGCCGUUGUCCAUUGUUGAGAUCAAUAGAAGAACUGGCAAUAAUAAAAAGGAAAAAAAAAUAUUGCAAUGUCAAUUUACAACUAAAAGUCUGGCAAACAGACAGAGAUACGUUACAAUGUCAAUUUACAUCUAAAAGUAUGGCAAAUUAACAAACAUAGAUACUUUAUAUGUUUAGUAUUGUUUGUAUUACUAUGUUUCUUUCGUACAUAGGCAUGUCCAUACUUCAUGGAUACUUUAUAUGCUUAGUAUUGUUUGUAUUACAAUGUUUCUUUUGUACGUUGGCUUUCAAUUAACUUGAACAUUAAUUUAAAUUUGAAUUUAACUUCCUGGUCUUUCAUUGAUUGUUAGGGGACCAAAAAAGUUGAGGGUAUCUGCUUUGAUAUGUCUAGAAUAAAAGAGAUCUAUCUGCAUCCAGAUACUUUCACAAAGAUGUGUAAAUUGAGAUUUUUGAAAUUCUAUAACUCUAAAGAUGAUGGAGAGAACAAAUGUAAGGUGUCUUAUUUGGUAGGACCUGGAUUUGCUGAAGUGAGGUAUCUUCACUGGUAUGGAUAUCCACUAAAAUCAUUGCCGUCAAAUAUUCAUCCAGAGAAACUUGUUUCAAUUGAAAUGCCUCAUGGUAAUAUUCAACAACUUUGGGAUGAUGUCGAGGUAUAUAAAAUCUUAAUAUUUAUGCAAUGUUUCAGUAAUAAUGUUUAAUUAUUUAUCGUACUUAAAUGCUAACAAUUUGUAUGUCUGGGCUUCUAAUUUUUUUGGAGCAGCAUAAUGGUAAGUUAAAGCAGAUAAUAAGCCGGGCCUGCAAUUUUUUCACCAAAUCUCCAAACCACUCGUUGACCCUGCAUCUGGACAAGCUAGUUAACCUCAAUCUAAACAAUUGCAAAAGCUUGAGAAUUCUUCCAGCUGGAAUAUUUCGUUUGGAAUUUCUUAAAGAACUUGAUCUUUGGGGCUGCUCAAAACUAAAAACGCUUCCAGAGAUAUCAUCAGCUGGUAAUAUAGAAGUGAUGUAUUUAAAUGGAACUGCAAUUGAAGAACUGCCUUCAUCCAUAGAAUGUCUAUCUCGGCUUUCGGCCUUAUACCUUGAUAAUUGUAAAAGGCUGAAGAGUCUCCCAAGCAGCCUAUGUAAAUUGAACUCUCUGAACUUUAUUUAUCUCAGGUGGUGCUCAAGUCUUAGGAGUUUGCCUGAUGAACUUGGAAAUUUAGAAGCUUUGGACAGUUUGAUUGCUGA
rnacentral:lncRNA from 1 species